rnacentral:rRNA from 1 species
CCUACGGGAGACAGCAGUGAGGAAUAUUGGUCAAUGGGCGAGAGCCUGAACCAGCCAAGUCGCGUGCGGGAGUACUGCCCUAUGGGUUGUAAACCUCUUUUGUCGGGGAGCAAAAGCCGCACGUGUCCGGCUGUUACAGUUCCCGAAGAAAAAGCAUCGGCUAACUUCGUUCCAGCAGCCGCGGUAAUACGGAGGAUGCGAGCGUUAUCCGGAUUUAUUGGGUUUAAAGGGUGCGCAGGCGGAUCUUUAAGUCAGCGGUCAAAUCGUGGGGCUCAACCCCGUCCAGCCGUUGAAACUGGGGGUCGUGAGUGUGCGAGAGGUAUGCGGAAUGCGUGGUGUAGCGGUGAAAUGCAUAGAUAUCACGCAGAACCCCGAUUGUGAAGGCAGCAUACCGGUGCACAACUGACGCUCAGGCACGAAGGCGUGGGUAUCGAACAGGAUUAGAUACCCGUGUAGUC